rnacentral:rRNA from 1 species
AGAGUUUGAUCCUGGCUCAGGACGAACGCUGGAGGCACGCUUAAAACAUGCAAGUCGAACGAGAAGCUUUGGUGCUUGCACCGAAGUGGGAAGUGGCGAACGGGUGAGUAACACAUGAGAAACCUGCCCCGAAGAUUGGGAUAAGCCUUGGAAACGAGGUCUAAUACCGAAUACCUUCUAAUUAUCACAUGGUAAAUAGAAGAAAGCUCAGGCGCUUUGGGAUGGUCUCGUGGCCUAUCAGCUUGUUGGUGAGGUAAAAGCUCACCAAGGCAACGACGGGUAGCUGGUCUGAGAGGAUGUCCAGCCACAUUGGAACUGAGACACGGUCCAAACUCCUACGGGAGGCAGCAGUUAGGAAUCUUGCACAAUGGGGGAAACCCUGAUGCAGCGAUGCCUCGUGCGGGAUGAAGGCCUUCGGGUUGUAAACCGCUUUCAGUUGGGAAGAAAGUGACGGUACCAACAGAAGAAGCCCCGGCCAACUAUGUGCCAGCAGCCGCGGCGAUACAUAGGGGGCGAGCGUUGUCCGGAUUUACUGGGCGUAAAGAGCUCGUAGGCGGUUUAAUAAGUCGACAAGUGAAAUCUCCAGGCUCAACCUGGAGCAGCCUUGCGAUACUAUUAUGACUUGAGUGUGGUAGAGGAGUGUGGAAUUCCCAGUGUAGCGGUGAAAUGCGCAGAUAUUGGGAGGAACACCUAUGGCGAAGGCAGCACUCUGGGCCAUUACUGACGCUGAGGAGCGAAAGCGUGGGGAGCGAACAGGAUUAGAUACCCUGGUAGUCCACGCCGUAAACGUUGGACACUAGGUGUGGGAUGCGAUCAACGCAUUCCGUGCCGAAGUUAACGCAUUAAGUGUCCCGCCUGGGGAGUACGAUCGCAAGAUUAAAACUCAAAGGAAUUGACGGGGGCCCGCACAA